rnacentral:rRNA from 1 species
AUUGAACGCUGGCGGCAUGCCUUACACAUGCAAGUCGAACGGUAACAGGUCUUCGGAUGCUGACGAGUGGCGAACGGGUGAGUAAUACAUCGGAACGUGCCUAGUAGUGGGGGAUAACUACUCGAAAGAGUGGCUAAUACCGCAUGAGAUCUACGGAUGAAAGCAGGGGAUCGAAAGACCUUGUGCUACAAGAGCGGCCCGUGGCAGAUUAGUUAGUUGGUGGGAUAAAAGCUUACCAAGCCGACGAUAUGUAGCUGGUCUGAGAGGACGAUCAGCCACACUGGGACUGAGACACGGCCCAGACUCCUACGGGAGGCAGCAGCGGGGAAUUUUGGACAAUGGGCGCAAGCCUGAUCCAGCAAUGCCGCGUGCAGGAUGAAGGCCUUCGGGUUGUAAACUGCUUUUGUACGGAACGAAAAGCCCUGGGUUAAUACCCUGGGGUCACGACGGUACCGUAAGAAUAAGCACCGGCUAACUACGUGCCAGCAGCCGCCGUAA